rnacentral:rRNA from 1 species
CCCUUAGAUGUUCUGGGCAGCACGCGCGCUACAAUGGUCUUCGCAAACGGAUGCAUUCUCGAAGGAGAAUGCCAAUCUUGGAAUCUAUGCCUUGGUCGGGACAGUUGCUUGCAAUUUUUCGACUCGAACCAGGAAUUCCUUGUAAUCGUGAUUCAUCACAUCACGAUGAAUACGUCCCUGCCCUUUGUACACACCGCCCGCCGCUCCUACCGAUCGAAGAGUUAGGUGAAUUGUUUUGAUCGAUAAGAUUUGACUAUGGUCAACUCUCGUUGUGAAAUUCUGUGAAUCUGACUGUUUAGAGGAAGGAAAAGUCGUAACA